GAUUUCCGUCAACUGUACAUGCUGUUUAUUCACCUUUGUAGUAUAAAUAUGAGGGAGCUCCAUUCAGAUACUUCAAAAUGACUCUGAAAAACGGUUUAGUUUUGAUAGUUGCUUUACUAUGCUUGGGAGUAUUUCUGGGCUUUGGCGUUGAAGAAUCGGAAGCAUUAUACCCGCCAGCAUGGCCUCGUCCACCGUGUGGUUGCAUGUGUUUUACAACACCAUGUCCUUGUCUACCAAUGGACCAUCCCCUGUGUAGAUACCAAAUAGGUUAACGUUAAUGUUCUCUCAGGAACGCAUUUACGACCAUGAGAUGAAAAUGCAGAUUACUAGUAUAAGUGCAGUUAAAAAACACGAGAAAUGAUUUAAAAUGCAUAUAAAAAUCAUCG